CAGGCACAGCCCCCGCGCAGAAAGUUAAGAGAAGUUGCCCGCUUCGCCCCCUCCUUCCCUUCGCGUCCCCUGAGAGCGCGGAGCGGCGGCGAGGCGCCCUGCGCAGGGGGAAAGGGAGAAGGCUCCGGGCGGCGCGGUCCCUGCCCAGCGCGGAAAGGGGGCGGCCGGCUCGGCCCCGCGGACGGAGCGCAGAGCGGCCCGCGCCGCUGCGCACCGAGUCGUUGUCAGCCGGGGAAGAGGAGGCGGCGUCGCUCUGCUCCCCAAAUCACCCCUUUUGUCAUCGGGGAGAGACCCUCCCUCAAGUUUCGCUAUCGCUGCGUGGUUGGGCUAUGUAUAAUUGUGACCACAUGAAGUGCUGGAUCUGACAAGCAAAACCUGCCUUGAACCCUGUGAGGGAACUUCUGAGCAGAUGACACCAAAUUCCAACCCUGAGAAGAGGGAUAGUGCCUGCUGGGUACUCCUGGAGUCCUGGACCCAGUGCCUGGUGAUCUCCAGGGGUCCUUCCCAGCCUCAGGAAUUCUCUGCUUCUGUGAUAUUUUUAUGGGAAAAAAAUUCUUUAUACUAUUCCGCUUUAUUGUCCACUGCUCUCCAACUUUUCAAUUGUUCUUUUCUUUAACCACCUUUUUUUUCCCCUUUUGUCCUUAUUUUCUGUUUUAUCUUUGUUUUUGCUAGUCUUCUAUUCUCAGUCUCUCCCAUAUUCUCAUCCUGCAGCAUGUGUUCAACAAUAGUUAUGCUGUGACAUAUUCUGUGUAUUCAUGCAGUCUAUUAAAGAAGACAUUGCCAUCCCUCCUACUGAGGAUUAAAAAAGCCCAGCUCACCCCUGUACUCUGCCUUUAACCAAAAUGGUAAACAGCCCUCAAGCAGACACAUUAAGGGGCAGAACUGAACUACUUAUAAGAAAUAGAGAAUUGUGCAACACUCUCUUCUUCCCUUGAUUUCCUGCGCUUGAAUACACAUUUUUUGUGCCUUCACAAGAUUUCCAUAUUGAAGAGCAUUGCCGAGGAAGGGCAUAAUUAAAGGCCAUCCCACCAUCACCAAGUGGAAAGUUCCUAAUGCUGUUGUGAAAGAAAUGAAAUGAAGAUGGAAGGAUGACAGUGAUUUAGUCACAGAACCAGUUAAAUGACUUUUCCAACUGGAGGCCACAGAUAGCUUUUUGAUUUACAGAUAGCACAGAAGCUUGAGCUUAGAAACUUUUAACUGAAGUAAAUAAAGUCCAGAAAGUACAAAGUAAAUUUAAAGAUUCUGGCUUCACUUCAAGAGAGAGUUAAGAGUUUCAAGUUAUACUUCUGUAAAUUCAGACAAUUAGCUU